GAUGAACGCUGGCGGCGUGCCUAAUACAUGCAAGUCGAACGAGACCUUCGGGUCUAGUGGCGCACGGGUGCGUAACGCGUGGGAAUCUGCCCUUAGGUACGGAAUAACUUAGGGAAACUUGUGCUAAUACCGUAUGAUGUCUUCGGACCAAAGAUUUAUCGCCUAGGGAUGAGCCCGCGUAGGAUUAGCUAGUUGGUGGGGUAAGGACCUACCAAGGCUACGAUCCUUAGCUGGUCUGAGAGGAUGAUCAGCCACACUGGGACUGAGACACGGCCCA
rnacentral:rRNA from 1 species